AAUGGGCGAAAGCCUGAUGCAGCAACGCCGCGUGUGUGAUGAAGGUCUUCGGAUCGUAAAGCACUUUCGGCCGGGACGAAAAACUGAAACCUAACACGUUUCAGCUUGACGGUACCGGAAGAAGAAGCACCGGCUAACUCUGUGCCAGCAGCCGCGGUAAUUCAGAGGGUGCAAGCGGUUUUCGGAAUUAUUGGGCGUAAAGCGCGUGUAGGCGGUNUGGUAAGUCGGAUGUGAAAUCCCUCGGCUCAACCGAGGAAGUGCGUUCGAAACUGGUGGACUUGAGUACUGGAGGGGGUGGCGGAAUUCCCGAAGUAGAGGUGAAAUUCGUAGAUAUCGGGAGGAACACCAGUGGCGAAGGCGGCCACCUGGACAGUAGCUGACGCUGAGACGCGAAAGCGUGGGUAGCAAA
rnacentral:rRNA from 1 species